rnacentral:rRNA from 1 species
CAAUUUAAACAACGAAGAGUUUGAUCCUGGCUCAGGAUGAACGCUAGCGACAGGCUUAACACAUGCAAGUCGAGGGGCAGCGGGGGUAGCAAUACCCGCCGGCGA